UGGGGAAUAUUGGACAAUGGGCGAAAGCCUGAUCCAGCCAUGCCGCGUGUGUGAAGAAGGUCUUCGGAUUGUAAAGCACUUUAAGUUGGGAGGAAGGGCAUUAACCUAAUACGUUAGUGUUUUGACGUUACCGACAGAAUAAGCACCGGCUAACUCUGUGCCAGCAGCCGCGGUAAUACAGAGGGUGCAAGCGUUAAUCGGAAUUACUGGGCGGAAAGCGCGCGUAGGUGGUUUGUUAAGUUGGAUGUGAAAUCCCCGGGCUCAACCUGGGAACUGCAUUCAAAACUGACUGACUAGAGUAUGGUAGAGGGUGGUGGAAUUUCCUGUGUAGCGGUGAAAUGCGUAGAUAUAGGAAGGAACACCAGUGGCGAAGGCGACCACCUGGACUAAUACUGACACUGAGGUGCGAAAGCGUGGGGAGCAAACA
rnacentral:rRNA from 1 species